GGGGAAGAUCUCUUUCUGGAGAUUUCUCCUCUGUGGAAUCUUUCUUGCAAAUCUAGGUCUUUGGAUAUGGGUGGUGAUCUGCUGCCAGAAUAAAUAAAUUUCCAGAAGUGCCAAGGCCGCUCAGCCAUUUACUGUGAUUUCACUCCUACAUAAGGAAUUUGUAUUCACCAACUUUCUUCAAGUAUCUCCUCUAUUAUAAGAUUACUAAAUUGAAGUUUUAGGAGUUGAGGCAAAAUGUAUUGGCUCCCAAGUCUUUCACAGGAGCGAGAAGUUGUUGUUUAUUCUACUAUCAGUAAAUUCAUUACGAAGAAGCAUGAAUGCACAAAAUUUCCUGAGGAUUUCAGUGAGCACUCCACGGCCCUUUGAUAGACUUACCUCUGUUCCAGAGACAUCUGUAGAACCUUACUAAGAAAAUGAACCCUAUGAGUAAGGAGCUGCAAGAAAAAAUGCUCAAAACUACUGCUAUACACCAGUACUUCUACUAAUCUAGCAAUUUUUAAUAUCACAGGCUUCUAAGGACCAAUCCUAAACACCAUGAAGUCAAUAGGAAAACUGCUUAUGACUUCCAGAGCCUUAGGAUCAGCACUUCAGUCUGUUGGGUUUUGUCUGGUUUAUUUUUUUUUUUUAAUUGUAUGAAAUGUGCAUAAGAAGAUCCUUGAAUGGCAAGGAUUGGAGUUUCCUAAUGUGCUUAGUCAGCAGACAAGAAGCACUGGAAACUGGAACUUCUGAGUGCUGUUGCUGCACUUUGCUCUUGACUGGCUGUAUGACUUAUGCCCACUGGCUCCUGCUGGAAACUCCAGCUUUCUUGUUGGUAAUCAAUUGUUAAGAGCUUGAAAAUAAAUAUGUGAAAUCAAUUUCUUUUCCUUCCUGUACCCAGCAGCUGCAAAAUUUCAAAUUAAGUAUCUUUGGGAGUACUGAAAUAAUGCUUGAAGGCAGCGAAGUAGGAAAUUCUAGGCCUGCAGGCAGAUCUGCCUUGGCCAGAAAGAGAAAAAAGAAUUGCAUGCAAAAGUACAUUCACAAAAGCAUUUCUCCUUAGAAUAAUAACAUAUU